AUGUUCACCUGGUAGGGGAGAUACCAUGAUCAUGAAGGUGAUUUUCCCAGGGCGAGGUUUUUGCGCUCUGGAUGUGCUGACCCCUGCAAUUUCCCCAAGGUGGGAAACUCCACUGUAUAAUUUAUUGUAGUGGGGGAUGCGUUCACGCUCUCCCCAU